rnacentral:rRNA from 1 species
ACUUAAAUUGAAGAGUUUGAUCAUGGCUCAGAUUGAACGCUGGCGGCAGGCCUAACACAUGCAAGUCGAACGGUAACAGGAAGCAGCUUGCUGCUUCGCUGACGAGUGGCGGACGGGUGAGUAAUGUCUGGGAAACUGCCUGAUGGAGGGGGAUAACUACUGGAAACGGUGGCUAAUA